GCCUCGCUCCCGCCUCUCCGCUCCUUCGCCUCCGUCUCCCCGGCCCCGUCGGCCCCCGGGAAGGACCUCCAGGGCAGCAACGGCAACGACGAUGAUGACGGCCUCCCGCCCGCGCCCCUCCCGCCGCCGCCCGAGGAGCUCGGCUCCGACGACGACGCCUACUACCAGGAGCAGCUGCUCGAGUACGCGCAGGAGGACGAGGCCCGCCUCGUCCCCGUCAAGGCCUACUUCCCCUGCACCAGCAUCAACCUCAAGAGCCUCCAGUCGCAGAAUUCCUUCAAUGUCAUCCCGCCCACUUCGCGUGCCACCAAUUAUGUCGUCCUCAGAUACUAUGAUGUCAAGGGAGACCCCGAGGGUUUUAAGACUGGUGUCAUAGAUGAGAGCCAUUGCCACUACAUGGUAGUUUUCCAAUAUGGGUCCAUCGUGCUGUUCAAUGUUUCUGACCAUGAAGCAGAUGGAUACCUAAAAAUUGUCGAGAGGCAUGCUUCAGGAUUACUGCCAGAGAUGAGAAAAGAUGAUUAUGCCGUUGUUGAGAGGCCUGCCAUGGAGAAGUGGAUGGAGGGUGGACUUGAUUUUAUUAUACUUAAGGAUCUGAGUAUUGAUGGUAUUCGGACAAUUGGAAGUGUCCUUGGUCAGAGUAUUGCUCUUGACUAUUAUAUCCGGCAAGUGGAUGGAAUGGUUGCUGAGUUCACGGAUAUAAACCGUGGAAUGGAAAAAACUGGCACCUUCACUAUGGAGAGGAAAAAGCUUUUCCAGUUGGUCGGAAAGGCUAACUCUAACUUGGCAGAUGUCAUUCUUAAGCUUGGACUUUUUGAGAGGUCAGACAUUGCUUGGAAGAACGCAAACUAUGCUCAGAUCUGGGAGUUCCUCCGGGACGAGUACGAGCUAACCCAAAGAUUCGGAAACCUUGAUUUCAAGCUGAAAUUCGUCGAGCACAACAUCCGGUUCCUCCAGGAGAUCCUCCAGAACAGGAAGUCGGACUUCCUCGAGUGGCUCAUCAUCAUCCUCAUCAGCGUGGAGAUCUUGAUAUCUGUGUAUAACAUUGUCCAGGAGCAGAUGUAGGCCAAGGCGAGGGAACCAAUACGUUGUUGGUGAGAGUGAGCGAGGGAGGGAGCGAGACCAUCGUCAGAGCCACACGAACGAACCACACUGUUUUGUCCGCGAGUUUUUUGGUUCCAUUUCCUCCCCCCGGUAGAAGCCCCUGUAAAGAAUUCUUAAUUCGGACCCGAUCCUACAUGAAUGAUCACGUUAGGCUUAGCGCACUUGCUUUGUCCGGAGGUAGUGUUGCUGCUGUUGCCUAGUGGAAUUGUGGGAUGCGGAUGAGUGAGUGUGGCCGAGGUAGUAACUGGGCGGCGUGUGACUGGCACGCGAUGGCGAUGGGUCCUCUUUCGCGUUCGUGGCUGAAACUUGAAAGGUGGGCGUGUGAUUGAUUGGGCGAUGUUGGCUUGAAGGGGCGCGUGCAGGGCAUAAGCCACGUUCACAUUCUGACAACCACCGGAACUAUUUUUUUGGAUCGGAAUGAGAUUGGGGAUUAUACCAUGGAUCUAAUCUGCCGGGGAAUCGUUGAUUACACUAAUAUAAUAUAUUAACAUUAUAUUAGUACUAGUAAAUCAUAUCCAUUAGCGAUUUAGCCACUUGCUCCCUUGAUUAAUCGGCCGGACGGCCAGUGGGGCAGCCAGAUGCAUGCCGUGCCGUGGCUCGCCGGCCUGUCGUUGGUUCGUCGUCGUCCACUCCCUCCUCCCCACCUCCCCUAGCGAAAAUAGCCGAGCGCUCUGACAGACUGACCGACCGACGUGGCCGGCCCAAUCGUGGCCCACCACUUGGCGCCCCUCCCCGGCGGAAUCUCCCGUGUUCACACUCCCAAAUUACCCAAACGCCCUCGUCCCCCGGCGGCCAAACGAGGGCAGAACCGUCACCCACAGUCUCCAAGCACGCCCGUGCGACCCGUCCGCCCUCGUGGCCGCACGAUCGCCAGAUCCAGCGGCCGCGGUCGCCCUACCAGAAGCUUCCGGCCCCGUGUAUAUAAGCGCGAGAGGGCCAGUGGCCUCCAUCGUCCUCAGCCCGCUCCUCCUCCCCGUCCGUCCCCACACACACACGCACGCGUUUGACAUUUUCCGCCCACCACCGCCGGAGGGAGCUCCAGCCAUGGCCGCCAAGUGCUACCCGACGGUCAGCGACGAGUACCUGGCCGCCGUCGCCAAGGCCAAGCGCAAGCUCCGCGGCUUCAUCGCCGAGAAGAACUGCGCGCCCCUUAUGCUCCGCCUCGCGUGGCACUCGGCCGGGACCUUCGACGUGGCCACCAAGACCGGCGGGCCCUUCGGCACCAUGAAGUGCCCCGCGGAGCUCGCGCACGGCGCCAACGCCGGCCUCGACAUCGCCGUCAGGCUGCUCGAGCCCAUCAAGGAGCAGUUCCCCAUCCUCUCCUACGCCGACUUCUACCAGCUCGCUGGAGUCGUCGCCGUCGAGGUCACCGGCGGGCCCGAGGUUCCCUUCCACCCGGGGAGACAGGACAAGCCCGAGCCUCCUCCAGAAGGCCGUCUUCCUGAUGCUACCCAAGGCUCUGACCACCUCAGGCAGGUGUUUUCCACUCAGAUGGGUUUGAGUGACCAGGACAUUGUUGCUCUUUCUGGUGGUCACACCCUGGGAAGAUGCCACAAGGAGAGAUCCGGCUUUGAGGGAGCCUGGACCGCCAACCCUUUGAUCUUCGACAACUCUUACUUCACUGAGCUCCUUAGUGGGGAGAAGGAAGGCCUUCUUCAGUUGCCGACCGACAAGACCCUCCUGACUGACCCGGCCUUCCGCCCACUUGUGGACAAAUAUGCUGCGGAUGAGGAUGCUUUCUUUGCUGACUACGCUGAGGCACACCUCAAGCUCUCCGAAUUGGGAUUUGGCGAGGCUGUUGAGGGCUGCUGCUGAUUCAAGCUCGGCGCCUGAAGGUUAAUGAAGAAGAAGAAGAUCAUGAAGAAGAAGAGCAAUAAGGAUGUGUUGGCCUGCGGCCAUGUCAUGUGUUUGUCUGGACUUGGAUUAGAUGGGUUGGUCGAUGGGGUGUUGCAUUGUUUUGCUUUCGACGCCUCGUGUCAUCUUGUGAUGGGCGUUCUUGUAGUCUGAACUGCUAAGUGUUAUGUAGUUCCUUUCCGGUUGAAUUGUUAUUCCCUGUCGAGGACGAAAUGAAAAUUUGGUUGCCCACAUUUGGCCCUCUCUGUGUUUGUUUUACCAGCUUGUCGUGUUGUUUGUCAGCUAGUUUUGUAUCAUCGUUUGCUGUAGGCUGUUGCAUCGAGUGGUCGGCUGUGCAUCGGCCGGAGCCAGCAUUUGAUGCGAACACAUCUGUUUCGGCCGUGCAUCGGCAGCAUCGUGGCAAGCAAGACAGUACU
rnacentral:rRNA from 1 species